AAAUAUAUUCCCAGUAAAUGAAGAAUCUGUUAUAGAAGUCACUGAAGCUCCUAUAGGAGUUACAGCAGGUCCUACAGCAGCUCCUACAGAAGCAACAACAUCUGCAACAACCGAUUCCGUUGUAGAACAAAACCCAGCCUGUGAUGCUUAUGACGGUACUUGUCGUGUAGAGUGUCGAGGUAAUGAAGUGGACGUGGGUGGUGUAUGCACCAACAGUGAGACAACAUGCUGUGUUGAGGUAUAAGUUGGCAAAAUAACUGAACAACUGGAUGAAUCGUACAUCGGAAGCAUGCAAAAAAUCAAGAAAUCUAUAAAGACCUUUAACUCCAGAACACUAAAUUUAUUCUUUUUGUGUGGGGGCAAUUUAGGAGGGGGCCUGUGCAACAUCAACCAAUUAGCCCCACCCCACCCCCACGGAACGCUAAUACUUAUCCAGUUACCCACAAGCAAAUGCAAAUACCCAUCCAGCUAAUUGACAGCUACGCAUAUUCCACACUAGAAUUAUUAUAAACAAAAA